rnacentral:RNase_P_RNA from 1 species
GAGGGCCGGAUGGCCGCGGCGGUCGCACGCCGAGGAAAGUCCGGACUCCAGGGAGCGACGGUGCCGGGUAACGCCCGGGCGGAGAGAUCCGACGGAAAGCGCCGCAGAAAACAGACCGCCCGCGCCGCGCGCGGGUCAGGGUGAAACGGUGGGGUAAGAGCCCACCGGGGUCCCGGCGACGGGACCCGCACGGCAAGCCCCACCGGGAGCAAUGCCGAAUAGGGACCUCGCGCGGGGCGCCGCCCCGCAGGGCCGCUCCCGCCCGAGAGGUCCGGGUUGGCAGCGUGAGCGCCGGAGCGAUCCGGCGCCCAGACGAAUGGUCAUCCAGGGGGCGUGCGCGUCCCCGGACAGGAUCCGGCUUACAGGCCCUCC